rfam:Morus notabilis contig45923, whole genome shotgun sequence.
GCAGGUUUGCCCGAGUGGUCUAAGGGGGUAGACUUAAGAUCUACUGCACUACGGUGCGCGUGGGUUCGAACCCCACAGCCUGCA